CUUCGGUCGUGGUGGGGUGCAGCCGCGGGGAAGACGAACUUGGUCCGCCGCCCGUCUUCACCUUCUCGCCGCGACCUUGCUGCCUCCAUGGCCAAACACACGUAUUUUUUUUCUGUCCCUCCAUGGCGCUCGUUGCCGGCGGCAUCUCUCUUUUCCCCCUUACCCUCCCUUUUUAUCUACCUGCUGUUGCUCAUCCUCCAAUCUCUUAAAUUCAGACAGGCUGGACGCAACGCACACGGUCUAGGAAGGCCACGACAUGACUAGAUAUUUGCUUGCUUGGUUUAGUCGCUUGUAAUCAGUGUACAUGCAUGUGACUUGUCCAUGUUAGCUUUUGUUUUUGCAGAUUAUCGGUUAUUUUUUGUGUUCGAACUUUUUUGUGUUCUUUUAUUAUCAAUUGUAGGUGCUGCUUCUAUCUUCUGGAAGUUAAAAGCAUUUUUCCUUGUAAAAUCCUCACACCAGGCUGUCAUUGACAAGGAAAGGAGAGGAGACUACUUGAAGAAAACGUCCAGGUUGGGCCACAUAUCACAGAUGGAAUUCAGGAUUGGAUCGAACGCGUGGCGAUAAAGCUGGUUGACGCUUGCAAUGCAGCACACUUAAAGCAUACAUGUGGAAGUGUGCAGUUCCUUCGGAUGUUCCCAUAGCUAUGUAAGUCUGCCCAGUGCAGGGACAAAAUCUUUUCUCACCGCGCAUAAUGACAGUGGCACUCUUGAUGAGGGGAUAUUGAAUCAAUGCAUUUUAUUGAAGCAUUAGGUCAAUUUUC